UCCGCUUCCUGUGCUCUGUAGUCCCCACACUUCUGCUACCACUGGGAACACCGGCUAUAAAAUUCUCCGCAGCAACUGCUGGAAUCUGUGAAGACCUCUGCCCUGAAACAGAGGAGUGUUAAUAAACCUCUAAGGCAGUCCAUCAGGAAAAGAUACUCACUGAAGCCUUCUGCUGUUGAAACCCCUGUCCCCUCACCCACGGAGGUGUCCAGGUGUCUUUCUUACUGAUUGGAGAAGAAAAAUGAUAAACAAGGCCACAAAACAAAAAGAAACUUAUGGGGAAAAAAGACAAAAAGGACAGUGUAUGUGUUGGGGCACACAUACUGAAAAGCUAAAAUGAAGAACAGAUGUCUGUGUGGAGGCACUUUUCCUAAUGAGCAGCAGAAACGAGAACCGUGGAGAGCAACUUUAACACAGUCAUAAGCAAGGGUCUCCUGACCAUUUUCGGGUGUUUUGGGUUCCUUUUAUAAUGAAAUUGUGGACUUGGUGAAGUAGAAGGACUAAAUAUCUUCCUAUAUGUGUGUUUAUUUAUCAGUUGAUGUUACUUAACUCAAGUCUGGACUGAAUACAUUUAAUGGAAUUGGCAAGAAGCUAGAUGACAUCUGGGUUUAAAAAAAUCAAAACGUUUCUACUAGAAAGGGUGGGGGCGGGGAGUCAAGAGGAGGCUUCUUGGUUAAGAGCAUUUCCUGCUCUACAGAGGACCCAGGUUUGUCAGUCAGCUCUCAACCUCCUGUACCUCAGAACUAGGGCAUCUGAUGUUUCUCUGGCUUCCAAGGGCACCUACACUCAUGUGCACACACACACACACACACACACACACACACACACACCUGAACACCCUCAUGCCCACACCCAUAUAUACACAUAUACAUACCACAUGCUCAGGAACAAACACACAAAGACAUCAGUAACAGACAGAUCCCUGCUCGUUGGUCUGGAAGCUUCACCCAUUUUGUUCUGCUGGCCCAUGCACUUGAAAUUCUUCUGUAUUUGGAAGUCAUGAAACAGAAUAAAAUCUUAAAACCUU